rnacentral:rRNA from 1 species
UACGGGGGGGGCAAGCGUUGUUCGGAAUUACUGGGCGUAAAGGGCUCGUAGGUGGCCAACUAAGUCAGACGUGAAAUCCCUCAGCUUAACUGGGGAACUGCGUCUGAUACUGGAUGGCUUGAGUUUGGGAGAGGGAUGCGGAAUUCCUGGUGUAGCGGUGAAAUGCGUAGAUAUCUGGAGGAACACCGAUGGCGAAGGCAGCAGCCUGGCCCAGAACUGACGCUGAGGUGCGAAAGCGUGGGGAGCGAACGGG